CAGACCGCAGCUCUGGACACCGCGUUGGCGACGUAGACGACUUCGCAAAGGCUGCGAGUGCAUUGUCUGUAAAAUCGGUUCACAAGAGGCUUUACGGCGUGCGCGCACCCACGACGCGAGUGGAACGGACGACACAGUCACACGCGAGCGCACGCGGGCAACCUCCAUCGUCAUCGUUUCCUAAGUCGAAGGCGAGGACCGCGCCACCUCUGCCCCCCCCUCCCCCUCACCCGCCUCCUGUCCCUGUGGGUUUAUGCAGAGUACAGCGGCCCCCUCUCCCUCUCACACGCAGACGCCAGGCAAACGGGUCAUCGCACUCGUCGCUUCGCUUCACAGGUUCGGCAGCGCUACGCCCGAGCUCUGCUCACCCCCGACUCGCAUCGCGUUGCCCGUGCCGCUAUAUUGUUUGACCUCGCUUGCUGAAGGUUUGCCUGUGCGGCGGCGGCUGUGGGGCGAGCACGAGCUCACGAGAACGAAAGACGCCAUCGAGCAGCGGCAGCAACGGGCGACGACGGCAGGCACGAAACGAACGCUGCCACCUCGCCGCACGGUUGUUGGUCCGCUACGUCUGCUGUCGUUGCACGUAUCCGCAACGGCUGGCCGCAGCGCUGGCCUUCUGCGUAGGUUCGCUGCUACUACUAUGUACGAUCGCGUUGGCAUUGCCAGAGAGCGAACCCUCAACUCUGGAAGAAAUCGAGCCGUAUACUCACGUAGUCUACUGCGGGUCUCUGAAAGAAGGUUGUGAGCGCACGCUGAGGUCCGGGCCCAGAGGAGAGCUCUCGUCGUGACUUUGUCGAGCACGAAGCGUGAGAGGCGGCCUACAGACGCACUCAGCGGGUCGCCGCCCGCUGCGCAGAGGUGGCUGAGGCGUUUCGCACGGCCUCUUUUUGUGCCAGGGGCUCAGGGUGAGGCGUCGGGGGGCCUCAAUGAGAAGCAAAGUGGCCGGGGGCGCUGUGCCCAAGGCGCAGGAGGAGGGCGUGGCUGUCUCGGCCGCCGUGCCAUCAGCACCGCGGUCGUCGGUCAACAAGCGUGGCCGCCUCACUCACCACGGCAGCGUUGGCGGUGCUCUCACAGGUGUGCAGAAGGGCACCGCACCACCGCUGUCGGCGAGGCUCUAUGAGGACCCCUGCACAGAGGCGCUCGACCGGCGCAACAGUUCGCCGGCGGCUCCCCACGCACGGACGUCGAACGCGACGCAUGCGCGUCCUUCCAGCUCCGUGGUUCCGGGCCGGAAGACCGCUGCUGCAGCAAUGAGGCAACCACCCCCGUCCCUCAGCGCAGCAGCACAGCCGUUGGGCAACGCUGCCGCCGUGGAGGAGGCAGUGGCGUGCUCAACGGAUGAGCCAUCCACGGGCCCGUCUGCGGUCGGUUGUGCUGUCCUCAGUGAAGCAGUCAAAAGUCGCAUGAGCACCACCCACCCUGCCUUAAGACUCCCCAGCGCCGGUGUUUUCGCAGAGUCUCCAGCGGCGGCAGCGGCGCGACGGGCCUCCAGUUCGUCGACUGCGGCGCCAGUGAGACAUGCUGAGGUGUUGUGUGUCGCGCUGCCGGAAAUGCCCCUCCCGCAAACACCGCAAAGGGUAUCUGCUGCCGGUGGUGGACGGCUGGAGCUGCGCAUGCGAGGGCUGGUGGCACUUCCCUGCCUGCACCUGUCCGCAGCACCUAAGUCACCGUCGCUGGAUGCGAGGCACGAGUCGACUACGUCGUCGUCCGUUCACGGAAGCGGCGAUGUCGCGGCAGGGCGUCUGCACGCCGUCAGUUUUCGGCAGAACGCCAUCAGCAGCCUCUCUACGCAGUCUGUUCGCGCCAUGUCGACUUCGCAAGCCUCACUAAUCGUGCCUCGCAGCUCCCCUCUGCAAUGCUACGCGCAUGUGUCCUCGCUUGACCUCACGCACAACGCGCUUACAUCGAUUGCCGGGAUCGAUGCCCUGAGGUGCCUGCGCUCGCUGCGCCUCGCGUUCAACAGACUGACUUCGCUGGCGCCGCUCUGGGCGUCGCGGUACGUAGCGCAGCUCGACGUGCUCGAUGUGAGCUCGAAUGCGCUGACGGAGCUGCUCUCCGCAGAGGAUGUGCACGCCUUGAAAAGGCACCAGAUUCGCAUCGUCACGCACCCCACGCAGGCGCACAGCGCCGCCCAUGGGUGCCCCAACGCCAAGUGUGGCGUGUACAAGGCGAUGGGUCUGCGGGUUCUGUACGCGUCCGACAACAAAUUUUGCGAAGUGCCGAGUGCGAUCUACACCUUCACGCAGCUGACAGAUCUGCGGCUGAGCAAAAACGUAAUCGAGAGUGUGCCGGACGGCUUUCCGGUGCGGGCAUGUCUGCCGCAGCUGACGCGUUUAGAUUUGAGCAUGAACAAGCUCCCUGCUGCCAUGGUCGAGGCCGUGACAGCGCGCGCCGAAGAGGUGGCUGAGUCGCCGCUCCAUCGUCGCCGCACAUCCACCACAUCACCGUCAUUUGCACGAGUAAAAGGCUACCGCCGCGCUUCGGCUCACCGUUCUCACGGCGCCACCGAUCCCUCGGCAGGUGCAAAGACUGCCGCCCUUUCUUCGUCAAUCUCGAGUGCAUUGAAGGCCGGGGAAGAUGCCUCAUCGGAGGAGGCAGGGAGUGGCGCUGUGCACGGCGCCGAGUGCAGUCGUGAUAUCCAGUCUCGUGUGCCAGGCGGAGCCAAAGAAAAUGGCAGAGCGGCUGCGGAGGAGGGUGAUGGCGUUUCUGCCGUCAAUGGCUCCGGACAGCGCCGCUCAUCGGCCUCUGCGGCAAAGGUGGCCGAUGACGCGGAGUCGAACGGAAGUCGCGGCACUCUGCUCCAGCUGAAGGCAGAUGCGGCGGUCUCACCUCAGCCGCCGACCAAAACGCGUCAUGAGAGCGCCUCGGCCACAGCGUCCAGCCCGUCCACGCGGAAGGCGACCGCCUCUCUGCCGCCCACGGCGCCCGCCAUCGCUACCGUAUCGGCUCAGAAGUCGCAGCAGCAAGACGCCGUCCAAUGCGUAGCGGAGAAUGUCUACAGUAUAGAUCUCAGUCUGUGGGCGGCGGUGGUGCGUCGACGGCUUGAGGAGGUGCUGCGGAGAUCGCCUGACAGCGACGCGAGUGGCGCACCGGGAGCUGCGUCAACGUUCUCCAUGCACGAGCUGCUGGUGUCCCUCUCCGACACCCUCGGCGGAAACAGCGGCGGCGGUGGCGCGACUGCGCUGCCGCGCUAUCGACGCCGUCCGGCGGCCACGGCCCGUACGAUGGCGGCCCUUACGCAGUGUCUGCCGUCGUGCUCCCUGUCCUACAGCGAAGAGGCCCAAGUGCGUCGCCCGCCUCUUCUGCUGCUCACCGGCAUAUCCGCUGCCGUGGCGGCAGACGAGAGCGAGCUGCUCCUCUACGAGGUGUUGGCCCUUCACAUUGUGCACAACUGCCUGUGCACGGCAAAGAGUGCCGCCGGUGGGGUGAGCCCGCCAUACGCAGCAUCCACGGCCUCCUCUCGGGCGCUUAAUUCGGCUGAACUGAUAUUGCAGCAAGCGUGCAAAUACGAGAACAGCAGCGAGCCACUCCUCCGCGCCGAAGCGCCGGCGGCCGAUCGCGCGAGCGGCGGUGAACUGCCUCCGCUACGGCCAGGUAGCCCAGGAAGCGGUCGAGGUGGCGGCACUGUGCGGCAGUUGAAUUUCGCUGUGCCGUUGCAAACCGUUCACGUAAUUGCUUGCACAGACACUGCAGCCACCCCUCACAGCUCCGUGUCGGCCUUGUGGGCAUAUCUCACCUGGCGGCAGCGGUGGGAAGCCGCCGUGUCUUGCCGCCGGCUCCCAAACAAGAGCGACUACAUCUGUGAGCUUGGGAUGCAGGCUGCAGAUAAGCAUGCGUCGCACCCGCUGUCAUCUGACGCUCCGUCCGUGACGUCGGAAGCGAAUGGUAGCGGCACGCACGCGGCCCGGCAUUGUGCGGCAGUGGUGCCCCUUUAUCCCUUCGCUGCGAACUCCCCCGUCCCGCGCGCACGGGAGGAGCACUGGUUGCACGAGUACAGACCCGCGUCGUACUGCGUAGUGCCGCCUGCGUGGGAACUCCUCUACGAUCUUCUCCUCCGCCCAUCCGCGCUGGAAAAGACAUCGCUGAAGCGGCCGCAUGUACCUGCCGUUCCGCCACUGUUGGCCGGGGUGGGCAGUCGCGUGCAACACUUGCGUGGCACACCCAUGUCUCUCGCAUGCGUGCUGCUCUGCGCCGUCGACUAUUCGGGCUGUGCUGGGGCAUCGCCAAUGUGUGCAUCUCCGACAUCACCGGUGCUGCGCUGGCCAACGCCGGGUACUGGAGGCCCUGCCGCUAGCGGCGCGGGAAACGGCACUUGCGCCAUCACCGCCUCCCACGUCCCGUGUGAGGGCGUCAUUCGCCGCGCUCUCCAGUGGCGCCAACACAGCCAGCAGCUGUGGAGUCAUGUGGAGAGGGAAGCCAACAUUGUCGCUGCGGAGCAGGUGACGUCGUGCAGCAUGCCGCUGUACAGCGCUGAAGAGGUACUCCAGAGCCGGCAGGCGGCCGUUGCGGCACUGAGCUCUCCGGGGGCACACGAUACUCGCCUGCGGUGCGGGCUGUUCGGGCAGAACGGCGUCUCAGAGGAGGCAGUCGAAAGCGCCGCCGCUUCUGAGGAGGGAGCGUCUCAGCCGCAGUGUCGCAGUCUUGCCUUAGCAAAACCGCUAUCGCAACUGCUUAGGUCCGCCUCGAACACUGCGGCAUCCUGUUCCGCAGAGCCCUGUGAGAGCAAGACCGCAACCGCCACAGAUACGACCAUGCGGAGCCGCGAGAUUGAAGGGUGCAGCACACCCGCAGUGGCGGUUGGUGCUGAUGGCGGGAGCGCGCCAGCUGCGGCAGUGGAUGCUGUGGGCGGCGAGGCAGAUGAGCACGGCGGCAUUGAAGGACAAGACGGUGCUGACGCAGCCGCGAGAUUCAACGAGGUGCGCGAUGACAACACGGCUGGCAGCGCGGUGUCGGCGACGGCGACAGCAGCGCAGACCCCCGAAUUGCCCGCGGAGGAUGCCUGGUGGCUCUGUGAGAACUGACGAAUCUGUGCCAGUGUAAGGUAGCCGUUAUCAUUAAGCACGAGCACAUGGGUGCCUGAGCCUGCCAUUCGCAAUCAAAGUCAGCGCGAGCAUCGGUGCUUGUGUGAAGUCGGGUCGUUGGCGUCGUUUGCCGCGGCCAACCCGUGUGCAUGCCACCGGCACCUUCGUUGUCUGGGAGUUCAUGGAAGGGCAGACGUGCACAUCAAUUUCAGGGCGCCCACCCUCCCGCAGGUGGUGCACUAAAGCGACGUGGUUUAUCGCCGUGUUCGUCCGUGCCCCUCAAAGCACGACUGCCUUGUGUCUUCUGGUGCACGGUGUCCCGGCUACCUUCGCGGCGGCGAAGCGUCUCGUGCUCGCGUAUGUGGGCAUGCACGCCGGACUGCCUGGGCACCCGCUCCAUGCGGGGUCGCCGUCAGUGCACGUCCCUUGCAUUUUUCCGUCACUCUUUUCUCUCUUCAGCCUCUGUGCAUGCGUACCUCUCUCGCAACGGACGGCGUGGCGGCUGCUCUAAUGUUUAUGCCUCCACCCAACUGCACAGUGAAACGUACAUGUUUUGUGAGUGAGUCAGUUUAGCAUAGUGAAGAAGACGUGUCAGGUGCAGUGCCCGCCGUCCAUCUUCC
rnacentral:misc_RNA from 1 species